CACUCAUGCAGACACGUGUCCACUGAACACCCCCCCCCCAGUUUAACGGUGAAUCAGAUGGAUCCUUGUUGCCAGCUCCUGCUCUGCUAUUCAACCUGCUGAUGGAAUUAUAAUAACCACACAUGAACAGAAAUGUGUGAAUGCCAAAGUGUGCUGUGCCUGCUGUCUGAGCACAAGAGCGUCCUGACUGCCCCUGUGUCUGCUGUCCAACCUGCGUGUGAAUGCAGUUCUCUGAGACUGCAAGUCCAUUGGAAGUAGUUGGGGAGGCACCAAUGAAAGCUGAUUUCAAACCCAGGUGGCCGGCUCUCUUCCAUGUGCAUGAGGUGUGUGUGGAAUUCAAGAGAAUCACAACGAUCCAUUUAGAGUCAAAGUUCUUCUCUGAGCUGGAUGCUCACUCAGACCCAAUCCAGGUGUUUGCCAAGAAAGGCGGAGUUCAGGGAGACGGAUCAGAAGCAUCAUGGGACCCAUGACUGAGCCGGUGGAUGAGCAGGGCCUGUCUGGCCUCCCUCUCUCUCCGAGAGGGCGAGCGAGGGGGACACUGACCGGCACAGCUGGAGAGAGAGAGAGAGAUGUAAGCUCUGAUGAUCACAUGACCUCCUCCUCCUCCUCACCCUGUCGUUCAGAGCUCCUCCCUCUCCGCGAGCUUCUCCUGCAGACAACACACCUCCCAUUGGAGCUCCGCCCUCUCCUGCAGCUCCAUGGCGG